GUCGGCGCCCAGGUUCCCAGCGGCCAGGACGCCGGGCGGCCAGGGGACAGCCGGACAGGCCGACAGGGGCUCAGGGCCGGCGUCGCUCUCAAAUACUCCGUACAGAUAAAACUUACGCACAUAACCAGGGGGCGCAGCUCGGCGCCCAGGUUCCCAGGGCGCUGGGGGCAGGCCGCAGGCUGGCAGGCAGGGACGGGCGGCCGGGCGCAAGGAGAAGAAGACAGCCAGAGCUAGAUCCAGUGAACUAAGGUUUGAACUAUGAAAAGGAAGAGGGGUGGCAGUGCCGCUACUGAUUUGAGAUCGUUCUUGCAAAGAGCUGCUGCAAAGAAGAAACCUCCUGAGGCAGAGGUUGUUAGUCCACCUACUAAUGAAAAUCAAAUGCAGAUAGUAGUAUUUCAAGGACAGAGUACCAGUGGGAGUGGGAGAAACACCAUACCUCUUGAAGCAGAGAGGGAUGAGCAGCAGCAGCCACCAGCUAAUCCCUCAAUAAUUGAAGAUGAUGAAUCCAUGCCUAUAGAUGAAUCUGACUCCGGCGAUGAAGAUGAUAGUAAUUAUAAUAUAGAGCAUGAUCCGGGAUUGAGGCCUCCUAUCUCAAGCUAUCCUGUAAAUGACAAAGAUUCGGUUAGAAGGUCAUACAUUGCAUUGGGACCAUGUCAACCAAGAAUGAAGAGAGAAUUAUUUCCCCAACAUGAAUGUGGAGGUAUGCGCCGAUUCCAACCUAAAUGGUUUGAUGAAUUCAAGUGGCUAGAGUAUAGUAUGCAUACAGGUGCUGCAUAUUGCUUUGUUUGCUACUUGUUCAUGGAUAGUAGCAAAUAUCCUGGUGGAGAUGCUUUUGUUAAUGAAGGUUUUCGAAAUUGGAAUAUGAAAUGCAGAAUUCGUAGGCAUGUUGGUGCUAUCAAUAGUGCUCACAAUGAAGCUGAGGAGAAAUAUAAUUUGUUCAUGAAACCUAGGACUUCAAUUCGUGAGUCUAUAGGCUCAAA